GUUAAACUGUCAUGCAUCAGAACUUCCUGGAGGGCUUGUUAAACCCAUGCUGUUGGGCCUCCUCCCUCACUUCUCAGAGUUUCUGACCUAGUAGGCUGAGUCAAAACAUCUUUGGGAUAUCCAAGUGAAAAUAUUAAGCAUGCAGUUUUGUCCUACCAGUUCACAGUUCUGGAUAUUCAGAAACUGAACAUGUACAAGAUCUUCGGCACGGCGAGAACAGUGAGAAGUUAGCAAAUAUCUACAGGAACAAGUCACAGAGAGAGAGAGAGGCAGAGACACAGGCAGAGGGAGAAGCAGGCUCCAUGCACCGGGAGCCCGACGUGGGAUUCGAUCCUGGGUCUCCAGGAUCGCGCCCUGGGCCAAAGGCAGGCGCUAAACCGCUGCGCCACCCAGGGAUCCCGGCUGAAACCAAGGUUUAACUGAGAUCUUCCAACUUCCAGCUUCUGCAUCUGGACUGUAUUCCUGCUUCCUCUGUGUACCUGUAAUGCUUUGUUAACAUCUGUUAUGCGACUUCAGAGAAAUAAUAAUAUUGUUAUUAUUAUUAAUAAUUGUUAUAAAUAGGGACGUCUGGGUGGCUCUGUGGUUGAGCAUCUACCUUUGGUUCAGGGCAUGAUCCCCAGGGUCCUGGG